GACAGAGGUCCCGAGCGUUAGGCGGAAUCACUGGGCUUAAAGCGUGUGUAGGCGGCGGCCUGAGUACCUUGUGAAAUCCCACGGCUCACCCGUGGAACUGCUCGGUAUACUGGGUCGCUUGAGCCACUUAGGGGCUACCGGAACAAAUGGUGGAGCGGUGAAAUGCGUAGAUAUCAUUUGGAACGCCAAUGGUGAAAACAGGUAGCUGGGAGUGUGCUGACGCUGAGACACGAAAGCCAGGGGAGCAAACGGG
rnacentral:rRNA from 1 species